UACGUAGGGUGCGAGCGUUGUCCGGAAUUAUUGGGCGUAAAGAGCUUGUAGGUGGCUCGUUGCGUCGGGUGUGAAAACCUGCGGCUUAACCGCAGGCCUGCUUCCGAUACGGGCGAGCUAGAGUUCGGCAGGGGAGACUGGAAUUCCUGGUGUAGCGGUGGAAUGCGCAGAUAUCAGGAGGAACACCGGUGGCGAAGGCGGCACUCUGGGCCUGUACUGACGCUGAGACGCGAAAGCGCGGGGAGCGAACGGG
rnacentral:rRNA from 1 species